UGCCAGCAGCCGCGGUAAUACGGAGGGUGCAAGCGUUGUUCGGAAUUAUUGGGCGUAAGAGCGCGUGUAGGCGGUUCGUUAAGUCUGAUGUGAAAGCCCGGGGCUCAACCCCGGAAGUGCAUUGGAAACUGGCGAACUUGAGUACGGGAGAGGAAAGUGGAAUUCCGAGUGUAGGGGUGAAAUCCGUAGAUAUUCGGAGGAACACCAGUGGCGAAGGCGGCUUUCUGGACCGAUACUGACGCUGAGACUCGAGCUCGUGGGGAGCAAACAGGCUUAGAUG
rnacentral:rRNA from 1 species